rnacentral:rRNA from 1 species
AGAGAUGUGUGAUGACGCAUAUCAAUAAGCGGAGGAAAAGAAACUAACAAGGAUUCCCCUAGUAACGGCGAGUGAAGCGGGAAGAGCUCAAAUUUGAAAUCUUCAAGGUUCUACCUUGACGAAUUGUAGUUUAUAGAAGUGUUUUCUGUUAGUAGGAGUGGCAAAAGUUCUUUGGAAUAGGACAUCAUAGAGGGUGAGAAUCCCGUAUUUGGUCCAUUCCUUCUAGCGUUGUGAUACACUUUCAAAGAGUCGGAUUGUUUGGAAUGCAGUCCAGAAUGGGUGGUAAAUUUCAUCUAAAGCUAAAUAUUGGCGAGAGACCGAUAGCGAACAAGUACCGUGAGGGAAAGAUGAAAAGAACUUUGAAAAGAGAGUUAAACAGUACGUGAAAUUGUCAAAAGGGAAGCGUUUGACACCAGUGUUGUUUUUCCGAAAAUCAAUUACGAAUGUUUUGUUUUGAGGAGUUAUGACUUCAUCGGCUUGCUCCUUUCUUUAUGAAACUUUCUUAAUGCACUUUUCGGUUAACAAGUCAACAUCAAUUUCUUUUGUUGUAAAAGGGUUAUGAGGAAGGUGGCUUUACUUUCGGAGUAAAGUGUUUAUAGCCUUGUAGCUCUGCAAUCGGAGAGAUUGAGGUCUGCAGCGUAGAUCCUUCGGGGUUAGAUACGUUUGUGCUAAGUUAUAGCUUUUCAUAGACAACUUGUUGACUAUGUUUAGUCUUGUAGCUUACUCGCUGACGCUAUUUUACCUACGCUUAGGAUGUUGAGUAGCGACAUACGCAC